rnacentral:rRNA from 1 species
UACCAGCACCCCGAGUGGUCGGGACGUUUAUUGGGCCUAAAGCAUCCGUAGCCGGUUCUACAAGUCUUCCGUUAAAUCCAACUGCUUAACAGAUGGGCUGCGGAAGAUACUAUGGAGCUAGGAGGCGGGAGAGGCAAGCGGUACUCGAUGGGUAGGGGUAAAAUCCGUUGAUCCAUUGAAGACCACCAGUGGCGAAGGCGGCUUGCCAGAACGCGCUCGACGGUGAGGGAUGAAAGCUGGGGGAGCAAACCGG